AAACUGCGAUAACUGAUGUGAAUUGCGGAAUUAGUGAAUCAUCGAGUUUUUGAACGCAAAUGGCACCGGUCUUGUGGCUGGUACGUCUGUUUGAGUGUUGGAUCUAACCUUUCUUCACAUGUGAAUGUUUAAUCACAUUCAUCUCUGUGUUGGAGACUUGAAUGUCCAUGUUUAUCGUUGGUCAUUUUAAAAGCAUCCUGAUCUUAUCAUCUCUUAUUUUGUGACACUUUCUAGUGAAUCAUUCUGAGGAUGACAAAGAAUGCUCAAGAUACUUCUUAAACAUCAACCUCAAAUCAGACGAGAUUACCCGCUGAAUUUAA
rnacentral:misc_RNA from 1 species